GUUGGGAUAUCCUCCCAAGUCCCACAUCGGAUAAAGAGGAGAAGUGGAACCAAAAUAUAAUGGUUCAAACCCAACCCAUUAGUAUGAGGCCUUUUGGGAGGUGCCCAAAAACAAAUCCGUGAGGGCUUGGCCCAAAGCGGACAAUAUCAUACUAAUUCGGGGUUGGAUGGUACGCGCGGUCCUAUCAAAGUGGUAUCAAAGCCCUGGUUCGGAGCGGGUGUGAACUGCGCAGAUGUGAGAAAAUCUCGGUGUGACGUUGUAACAACAGGACCAAGACUAGAAGAAGAUCUGCAAGUGGUGCCUUGUGUCGAAAGUCUUCCCGAUAAGAGGAGGUCGGGCGGCGUGUCCCGCAAAGUUGUAGCGGCGGUACAAGAUGGUGGGCAGAUUAUCCCUGGAGGGGAGGUCACGAUUUGUGUGGUCCUUGAUUGGAGGGGAGGUUUGUUGGGAUAUCCUCCCAAGUCCCACAUCGGAUAAAGAGGAGAAGUGGAACCAAAAUAUAAUGGUUCAAACCCAACCCAUUAGUAUGAGGCCUUUUGGGAGGUGCCCAAAAACAAAUCCGUGAGGGCUUAAGCGGACAAUAUCAUACUAAUUCGGGGUUGGAUGGUACGCGCGGUCCUAUCAGACACCACCAAUAAUGUUAUGUCUACAAAUUUUUUGACACCACCAAUUUUUUGACAUCAUAGUAGAUAAACAUCCUCUAUUUUUUAUUUAUUUGUUCAUUAAUGUGCAACCUCAACAAUUGGGUUUGCAUAUUCACUAGGUUCAACCCAAAUCUAAAGUCAUCCUACAUAAGCCAUAAGACAUUAGAUCCUUUGCAUAAAACCCUAAAGACAUCCCUACCUUGCUAUACAUCUCUUUUUACCAUUUUUUUCUAACACAAAAAAUCUUGCUUCGGCUAUUGCUCACUUUCUUUGCAAAAAGGCAUAUAUUUUCUUUAAAAUAAGGCAUAUAUUUUCUAACACAAAAAAUUUUGUCUUGCUUUUAAUCAUUGGUUUCUUUUCAUCGAAUUGUCUUGCUUGAUUUCUUUUUAUUCUCUUUUAUUUAUUUAGAUUUUUUUUUAAAAUAAUUCUCUUUAUUGUCGUCUAAAUAAUGUAAGUUAACACAAUUUUAAUACUUAGUAUACAAUUCUUGUAGGACGAUACUCUACUCAUUCUUUAUUACUUGUCGCGAUUUACGAAAAAGCCUUUCAAAAAUCAUUAUACCCCUGCAAAUCCUCAAAAUUCUUGCAUUUUAUCCUUCUUUUUCUUUUAGAAGGCAUGGAUUUGCUACUUUUCAUAUUUGACUAAUUAAAUAUUGCGAUUUAUAGUAAAUUGCACAUUUAAUUUUUUUAUUUAUGUAGAAGAGAAUAAUUGAUUAGUAAUCUUAAGAUUAAUAGCUUAAUGAUGAUUCAAUAAUAUUAUUUAAUAUGUAUGUUGGAAUCAUAUAGUUAAUUUAUAUUUAUAAGAUUUUACUAAUAUUUUAUCCUUUGAAUACAUGAUAUAGAAAACACAAUUUAAAAUGAUGCACAAUUAUAUAGAAAUACUUUAACUCUCCUAAAUUUUUAAGUUUAAAAUGUGAAUUUAAAAAUAACUUCAACUUAUCAAUCAACUUGAUAUUGUUUCUAGCAAUUAUUAUAUCCUCAACAUAUACUAAGAGUGUUGUGAAACUUCUUGCUUUUGUUUAGUGAAGAGAGAAUAAUCAGAUUUGGACUAAUUAGAUCAAUAUAAUUUCAAACAGUUAGUAAACUUGGCAUUCCAUUGUCUAAAGACUUAUUUAAGCCAUAAAGAGACUUUUGCAAUUUGCAAGCGAAUCAUGAAUUAUAAAACUAAGAUUUCAAAUUAUUAAAGAUACAAAGCUCAAGUAUAUUCUUCUCCUAACGAGUUGUUAUCUUGAGAUGUUAGCUUACCCAUGAGCGAAUUUCACAUCAGAUAAGUGCAAAAGAAGUAUAAGUGUUAGCAUACCUUAGACUUAUAAGGGACAUUUUGAGGGUGAUGGAUUAUCAUUCUUAGAAAUAAAAAUUGUAUAGAUCCUAUCCAAAUCAAGGUUGAGAUAAAAUUGGCUUGAUUUAAAGUGAACAAGUUCUUGUAGGAAUAGGUUGUUACAAUUUGAUCCUCUAUUCGAAGGUGGAUAAAACCUCAAUUAAGCCAUUGAGUCUGGGUGAAGUAUAACAUCUGUACCUAAUAAGGUGCUAACUUAAGAUUUUAGCUUACCCUUAGGCAAAUCCCAAAUUAGAUAAGUGCAAAAAAGAGAGUGGAUAUAUAAGUGUUAACAUACAUUCAACUUGUAGGAGACCUUUGAGGGAGAUGGAUCAGAUUUAUCCAAAUCUAAAAAGGGUGGAAUUGAGCUUAAUCUAAAGUGGAGAAUAUCUUACAGGACAAGGUUAUUACAUUCCUAGAUUUCGUUGGAGAAUAUCAGAUUUAUAACACUUAUUUUUCAUGUGACGCAGGUUGCCAUAGUAACUACAUAUAACUUUGAUUUUAUCAUUUUUGUGUGAAGCAAGUAAAUUUCUUUGAGUUUCUUCUCUUAAAACUAUAUUAUACACUUGGUCAAGUGAUGAAAAUAGCUCCAUAAGAAUAAUAUGAGUUAUUAAAGCUUGAUAUGACUCAUUUAAGCUAUUCAAGAAACAAAACACAAUCUUUAAAUGACUAUCAACAAAUGAUUAAAGACUAUAAUGAUGUAAAUACUGAAAGUUUCUCAACUCCUCCACACAACAUUGAGUUCAAUAAAGUAAGGGUCUAUUGACUUUAUAUCUUAUGUGAUAAGCAUAAUAGACAGAGGGCUGAGCUAUGUAUUAAAGAAAGGGGCAAUUGGUCCCCUCUUGUUUUUUAAAACAAUUUUCCUUAACAACAUCAAUGUUUGAACCUUGCCAAACAUAAUUUUUAACAAAAUUUUCAAUAACCAUUUUGCUCCCUUGCAUCUUCACAUAAUUUUCUUUUAGUUAAAUUUUAUAGUAGUUUAUCCCCCCCUCCUUUCUAAAUCUUAGCUUUAUCCUUGAUAAGAGAUGUUACAAACGACCAAUCUUAGCUCCAUCAUAAAAAUCAUUUCUUCGAAGUAGCCAAACUUAGAUGAGCAUUCUCUAUAUAAAAAACUGCAGUAUGCUAUCAAUGGUGAAGUUGGACGAAGUUGCUAUGGAACUAGAAGCUUGUUACCACAAACCCAAGGAAGGUACAAUGGAUUUUGUAAAUCAGUUUGCACAAUAGUACCCUUACAGAAAAUCUUACUUAUUGCGAAUAGAAAUCUUAAGCAAAAUGAAUCAUUUUCGUGAAAUAUAAUUUGUAGAUAUCAACUUUGGAGUAAUAGUCACUGAUUAAUGGCCUCCAAAUGAUGGAGAUAAUAAGGAGAAGGAGGAUCCUAUGUUAGAAGAAUUUUAGUAGCUAUGAUUAAGAAACUCUAAAAUCAAACUUUGAAGAAAUGGAUGCUUGAUUGAAUGAAUUCAAGCUGCUUAGAGCCAAAUUGAAGAAAUUAAAUGGAUGCAAAACUGAAGAACUUGGUGAGAAAUAGAGUAUAUAUCAAUCAAAAUGAAGAGAGAAAACACAACAAAAAAUAGAUUGACAAAUUUAGAAUAAAAAUUUAAGUAGAGAAAGAUAAAAAAAAAAAAAAAAAACAAAGGCAUGAAUCAAGAGAAACCAUUGGAAUUUAGGGAGAAAAUUAGAAAUGUUGAUUAUCGUUCUUCAAGAAAGAGAGAAUAUGUAGGUUGGAAAUCAUAUGACUUUGAUACCAUGCAGCAAAGAGAAAUGAAAAAGAAAAAUAUCAUUUUGCCCUUCUAAUUUUAGUCAAAAUAUUUAUAUACAAGAUGCUUAUUUUAAUAACUAAGAGUAUUUAGCCAAGGCAUAAUGACUAAAAAAAAUUUGAACUUUGGCAUUUUUAACAAUUUUGACCAAUUCUUUUAAUUUCUACAACAAAUACUGUGAAGUAAUUUUUUCUUAAGAAUUGUGGCUUUUUUGUCCAUUAAUCGUUACUAUUAUGCUCAUGUGGCCAUUAAUGGGACCUCAUCAUGAUAUGUCAUAUGCUGACUGUAAAUUUGUAAGGUAUAAUUGUUAAAAGAAUUGGCCAAAAUUAUUAAAAAAAAGCCAAAGUUCAUGGUUUUCUUUAGUUAAUUUCAAGAAAAAAAAUUGAGUUUUUUUUAAUCAUUCGAAAUUGUCAACACUCAUGUUAUAAUAAUUAAAUAUUAAAUAAGAUCUAAAAAAUUCAAUAAAAUUAUUAACAUAGUGAGAGAGGGAAAACCAAAUGCUAUAUAAUUAAUCAAUCGUAGAUUCGCUUUAAUUUCAAAAGUGAUAAUAUUAUUUAUAAGAACCUCUUCAACAACAUUAUUGUCUUACUUAAACUUGUUCUUUUCUUUAGAAGGAUCAACAUCAAAUAUCUAUACACUAAUCUUUCUUGAAAAAUUUGUACAUGAACAUAAAUUUUUAUCGAUUUUUGUUAUUGAAAUUUAUAAUAUUUUAAUUGUAUAGUUUACACCUUUCGAAUUUUCAAGUUAUGAGCUCCUUUUCAAAUUUGUUUUUCUUCCUUUAUUUUGUGUCAUGUAAUUAUUAUUUUCAAUUAAUUUUUAUUAAAAUGAAAUAUUUUUUUUGAGCUAUAAUUAUUAGUAGCUUUUUUUUUUUUUUUAUCUUCAUUGGUUGUAUAUCAAAUACUUGAAAAGAUUAUAGUUUGUAAUAUGAACCCACAUCUGAGGAAGAGAAAAGAGAAGGUAUUAUGGCCUGUGUUGGCUAAAAAAUAGGGAGAAAAAUAAUAAUAUUAUGGGUGGUAGCAAAACAUAGGAGAAAAGGAAAAAAAAACAAUGGCAUGGAGUGCGGUCAAACUCAUCUCACUGCACUAGGUGGCGUGCUCACAUACUAUCCGGACCACUGACCUCAUCCAAUUAUAUUAUAUCUUGAAAUAAUAAUAUCUAAUAUGCUAUCUUUUAUGGAAGAGAAGUGAGAUGAAUUUGAUUUUGAAAAAAAAUUAAUAUAAAUGUGUUGUCAUAGUCAAGGAUGAAGAUAUAAUCUAUAUAAUAGUGAGAAUGAGAAAAAAAAACAUUGGGUUUGAUAAAAAUAUAUAUAUAUAGUUAGUUUUAGUAAUGACAAAAUGUUGGCUAAUGAAUAAAUUAAAAAUGUAGUAAAAUAUUGUAAUGACAAUUGGAAUACAAAUAAAGUCAUUGUUACCAUGUAGAAUAUUGUAUUAAUUAUCGAUUAGAAGGUAAAAUGUAGACAAUAUUCCUUUUCAUUGAGUUGAUUAAUUCAAGCAACAAUAACUUCUUAAAAAAUAAGAUAGCUUUACUAAUUAAUAUUAGAAAGCUAAAAAUAUUAGUUCGGUAUUAUAAAAUAUUAAAAUUCUUAAUUUACUAGAAAUAUUAAUUUUAAUUUAUAAAAUCAAUAUAAGUCAUCUUACUUUAUAGCGAUUUUUAAUUUAUUUAUUAGCUAAUAUUUUGUCAUUACUAAAAUUAGUAUGUUUUUUUGCCAAUUCAAAUAUUUUUCUUCUCAUAUUAUAUAGAUCAUACAUGCAUCUCUGGUCAUGACAUCGCAAUUAUAUUAAUUUUAUUUUAAAAAAAAUCUAAAUCUCUAUCUCAUCUCUCUUCUAUGAAAGACAAUUUAUUAGAUAUUAUUAUUUCGAGACAAAAUAUGAUUAAAUAAGUAUUAAUGGUUUGAAUAGUAUGUGAGCAUGCUAGCCAAUGUGGAGACACGAGUUUCAUCACUAUCUAUGUCAUUUUUUAUUUUUUCCUUUUUCUCCUAUAUUUUUGUCAACACAGCCCACAAUAUCAUUUUUUUUCUAUUUUCUGGAUAUGUCAACUCAAAGUCCUUUUGAGAGUGCAUAUCCACUUAAAGCACUUAGGGGUGGACAUUUGGUUGGUUUGAUUAAACGUUUACUAAUUGAGUAUUUAUUGUUUACUGAUCGAUUUAAAUAUUCACCAAAUUUAGUGUUUAUCAAUUUAUCGAUGGAGCUUUACUGUUACCGAAUUAAUCAAUUUACCAUAUAAGAAUUGAUUUAUUUAAAAAAAUAAACCAAAAUGACUUUGUUUUAAGUAAAUGGUAAAUCAGGAAUUUCGAAUUGUUUGAAUACUUUAUCGAACCAUUUAUCAUUUACUGAAUUUUCUCUGAAAAAUUUACUGAACAUUUAUCAUUUACUGAUUUAUCGAAUCAUUUCUACCGAAUAACCUCAAUUCGAUUCGAUAUAUUGAUAAUUAGUGAAAUUUGUCCACCAAAAUCCACUUCACUCUUUUAGGGCCCUCCAUCUCCAUUUAUCCUCUUUUUGCAUUUUACACUAAAUGUAUAACAUGCAAGACUUUAAUCAUUGUAGUUACAAAGGGAAUCACUUUUUUAUUUUCUUUUUAUAUUCUACACUUGUCAAGCGUAUAACAUGCAAAAUUUCAAUUAUUGUAGCCGUGAAAGGAAUUACCUUUUUCAAUAGAAACAAUGAUUGUAAAUAAAGAAAUUACCUUUUUCAAUAGAAACAAUGAUUGUAAAUAAAAUUAUAUCCAUUGUUAUUGUAAAUGGCAACUACGUAAAUACAUAGCUAAAGAUUCAUGUCGAGUCUUGUACAUGUUAUGUCAUUUAGCAAUGCUCUUUUUAACUAUGGGUGAAAAUGAAAUCAAUUACAAGCCAAUAGCCUUUGUUAUUAAUUCGCUACUAACGAAAUUGAACUAAUUAAUCCCUAAGAUUCUUAAAAAUAAAUAAAUAAAAGACAUGGGAUUUGCAUAUCUAAGAAGAAAUUAAGCCAAGGCUUCAUGACGGUUUCUCCACGCUAUUAGAAUUAGAGAAACAAAGGAUCAGCAUGCGCACUCAAAUUAGCUCCACAAAUGAUUAAUUAUUGUAAUUGUAUGGAAUUUUCGAAAGCAAGCAUUAAUUAGGGUAUUAAUUGGCUAUUAGGCAUUGUGAUUUUGGAUUAUAAAGUUAUCUUUGAAAAAAAAAAUCAAAAAUAUUAAUUAUUUCGAAAGAGAAAAAUCAUAACGUUGAAAAUUCAAACGAUAAUUAAUGUUGCCAACAAUAACACCUCGAAAAUUCAUUACAACCUACAAAUGAGCUCUACGAGUCAGUGGACAACUUAAAUCGUACAGUUGCAGUAGCCGUUGUGUCUAGUUAAUUAUUGACAACAACAAUACAUGAAUAUAUAUAUGUAGAUAUAUAUAAUGGACCACAAUAGACAAUUAAUAUUUUCAAAACUAUCCAUUUUAGAAUAAAUUUUUAUUUGCUAAAAUAUUUUUUUAGAGAGAAACUCGUGGCAUUCCAAAUUUUAUGGAUGAUUUAUCACAUGUUUCUAAAGUUAUAAAUUUUGAUAAUAUUAUACAUUUUGUCCAUAUGUACUAGCAAUAAUAAUUUUUAGAAUUUUUUAUUUUUAUAUAUAAAAUAUUGAUUUAAUAGUAUAAUUUUUUUAAUAAUAAUUUUUAUAUUUUUCAGCUGUUUAAUAAGUAUUUCAUUCAUUUUAUAAGUUAGGUGUUUAAUGAGUCAAGUUAAAAAUAUUUAACAAGUGCAAUUCUAUAAAUUGAAAUUUUUAAUAAAUCAAAGUAAAAGUAAAGGGUACCACAAGAAUUUUCACGAAGAGUACAUAAAUAAAUUUAUAUAUUGGGCCGUUUAAAAUUUAUUUAUAUUAUUGUAAUAAAUAAGAAAGAUUUAUCAUUAUUGGUUCUCAAUAUAUUUUUAAGAAAAAAAAAAACAUUUUUAAGCACCUGAAAUUGGCUUCUAUAGUUUCAAUUGCAAACUACAUUAAAUUUUUAAUAUUAAAAACACUGAAAUCUUAUAUAUUACAGAAUUAAAUACUCAACAAGAAAUCAAUGGAAAAUAUAUUAGAAAAUAUAAAAAAUUACAUUACUUUCCAAAACUUACAUAUUUUUCAAUUUCAUCAUUACGUAUAUUUUCUUUCACCAGUUAUAAAAAAUUUUGUCUCUCAGUGUGCUGAAAACAGUAAAAAUUUUAUGAUAUUUUAAGUAAUUGAACCUCCAAUUCAAACCAUGAAAGGAAAAUUUCAUUUAAAGUUAGAAAUUACACAUUAAGAAAAAUUGACAAGAACGACAUUCAAACUGGGCAUCAGUUUGGGCCACUAAGCAAAGUAUCAUUUGCAUCUAAAAUUUAUUUUUUCAAUUUGGUGAAAAGUAGAUUAUUGAUAGUUAAAAUUCAAAUUAUUAAUUAGAUUGACUUUAAAUAGUACAACAAGGGCUAAAUGCAUAAAUUUAAUCUUGUAUCUUUUAUAUAAAUUUUUAUGGAAUUUUCAAUUUUUAUUUUAAUCUAUUGAAUAUUACAAUUUUAAAAAUUGCAACUAUUAUGUAUUUCAAUUUGUAAAAUUCAAUCGGUGGAACACUUAUUGAAUAAUUGAAAAAUAUAAAAAUCAUUAUUUUAAAAGUUAUAUUAAUCAUAUAUCCAAUUAAUAUUUUAUAUCUAAAAGUUAAAAAUCUUAAAAAUAAUUAUUAAUGUGGAGAGAUAUACAAUGAUAUCAAAAUUUAUAACUUUAAAACUAUAAUACCAAAUUUUUUUUUUAAAAAAAAAUACAAAGACUAAAUUAUGCAUUUUGGCUGUGUACAAUAAGUGUGGCUAACAGAAGUAAAAAAAAAGAAGGGAAGGCAGAAAAACAGUAGCUUGUGUAGCUAUUUCAUUAUUAAGGCAGACAAUAUGCCAAAUAUAUAGGGAAUAAUAUGUACCACCAACCAACCAACCAAACCAACCCUAUAGCCUAAAUUAUUUUGUUUGCUUAGAAACCUUUAUUUCAGUGUAAUUUCUUUUUUUUUUUUUUUAAAAAAAAAGUUAAAAAACAUUAUAACAACCGCAUGAUUGCUGUCUCCAAUCCCUACACUAAAGUUGAUUAAAGCUCAUUGAUUGUUGUAUUGCAUAAAAAUAAUGGAGGAGGAUGAUGUCUCUCUUCCUCCUGUAGUUGCUUUCUACUUCUGCUUCUUCUUCUUGAAAAUGCCUUUUCUUUUGGAAUCCAAAGGUUUUACUCAUAAAUGCAUGUGAAAGAAGAAGGUCACUCCUAAAAGUUAUUGAGUACUCGUGUUUGACCAUCCAUUUUUAUUAUUAUGAGUGGAAAUUUAUCUUCUUUAAGACCUACCAUGCAAGAUAUAAGGUCAUCAUUUCUUUGCUCCACCAAAUUAAGGAAAAGGGAAAACUGAGGGAGGAAGGGAGUAAAGAAGUCCAAGCUAUUGCUGAGUUAGUUGGAUUUGAUUAUUAAAAUAUUUAAGAUUAAGAAACUCUAAUAAUUCAUAAAACCAAAAAUUGAGUUGGAGUAUAUAACAUAAUAUCUUAUUCAUGAGCUUUAAUUAAAUAUUUCUCUAAAUUAAAAAUAUGGAUUCCCUUUCUAAAAAAUAAUAAAAAAAGAAAGGAUUCCCUGGCUUGGCGCCUUACCUUUAGGGACUUGAAGGAUAAGGUGGGCAACAAGAAUUCCCAGCUGUUAAGGGUACUCGAUGUGUAUAAUGAAUCAAUAUAAUAAAAACAGUUUAUAGAGGAAAAAAAUAAUAAAAGAAUCGUUCUUAUAAAAACACUCUUCAUCCAUUAGUUAGAUUAGAUAUACAAAACGUGUCCCUUCACUCAAAGUGUAAGUAAAGUUUUGCUCAAAUCAAUUCAAUCCAUUUAGUAAAAUUAAAGUUUUAGGGAAUAAUCAAAUGUUAUUAAAAAUAUAAAUAAAAUUUAUCAUAAAAAGAAUAAGUAUUUAUGAGGAAAAUAAAAUAAAAUUUUCAAACUUUGGAGGCCAGUACCUCUACUCCUUAUUAAAUUAUUUUAGUUCGGUUCAAGCUGGCUUGUUUCAAUUUAAUUAGGUUAAGAAGAUUCUCAUUGUGCCCACAUUAUUUCGUAAAUUCCUUUCAUUUUUGUAGGGAUAAACUUCAAGAUUUAAAAAAUCCAAUUUGAUUAGAAAAACUUCAAAAAUAUUAAAAAUUACUUAAAAAGUUAUUGCGGAACACAAUGUUGGUAUAUUUAUCAGGAAGGUGGGAUGGAUCGAGCAGAUACCCACGAACAGUUUACUCCCCUAGUAGAUCCAUCCAGUGAAUUUAACACUUUUAUAGUUAAAUAAUAAAACUAUAAUGAAAUUUUGUUAUUUAGAUAAUUUUUUCAUAUAUUAUAAAAUAGAAUAAGUUUUUUUUUGUAUCACCUAAUAAAAAAUGUCGGUUGAAUUUUUUAUUUAUAUUUUACCCAUGCUAGUUAGCUCUUCCAAGUUGCAAUAUUUGAUACCAAAAUUUUCUUCUAAAAAAAAGUCAUGACAGUUUCAGAAAAACAGCAUUGGAAGAGGUAGAAAGAUGGCCAAAAGGAAAGGUCAAAAUUUUGGUUUGACUAAAGAAGGUCCAAUUUUAAGUUAAUCAUUGCUUUUGAACUGUGGGAGUUACUUACUAAAUAAUGUUAUUAUUAUUAUUAGAUAAAUCUAACUAAUGCCAAUCAAAUAUUAUUUAAUUAUCGGAUUUCAUUCUUCUCUAUUACAUAAUUUUUCACUAAUAUUAAUAUUAAAUUAGAGUUAAUAUAAAUUUUAAUUCAUGAGCUCGAAUUCAAAAUAGUAACUCUAGCUCGAAUUCAAGAGCUAGAGUUAGCUUUCGUAUCUAGCCUUUGUUUUAUCAUUACUGAUUUUGUGCGUGGAAACUAACCUAACCCACAAAAGUAGAAUUCCCAAACUUGAAAAUUUUUGACUUUUGCAUCUUAUCAAAGAUUUGCGUGUGAAGAUUAUAUAAAAUAUCAUAUAUAGUCUUGAUCACAAAAUAAAAAAAGAAGCCAAAAAAAUUAUUUUCUUAUUUUUUAUUUAUGCCGUUAGAUAAAUUUCCAUUGUAUUUAAAAAUGAAAAAUUACCCAAAAAAAAAUUAAAAUAAAAAAAAAGUAAAACAGAAAUAUUACACAUUUACAACUUUUAUUUUUUUUACUUCAGUAUUAUAUAAAUAUAUUGAUAUGUAAUAUAGAUAAGAAUAUAGAUUUUCUUAGUAUCACUAUUAUAAGUUUAUUUAACAUCAUAUAAGGCCCACUAUAUUGAAUGUCUGAGUCUAAGAUAAUGAAUGUUCUGAAACAGACGUAGUGUAGUAGAAGCUGACACAUAGAAAGUUCAAGUGAAUCCAUUUUUAGAUUUAUGCCUUUGCUAAUCUACAACAUUUAUCAUAUUCUUGAGUGAAAGUGACGUUGAAACAUCAAAUUAAUUGAACCUCGAAUCUUUCAUUCCCUCCUUUUUGAAUUGUGCAUUGCAUCACUUCAAUAAUAAUUCAAAAUGAAAGAAAUUAAGGAAAGCUUUUAGGCUCUGUUUAAUAAACUAUACGGCUUAUUUCAUCUCGAAUUUUACUGGUAGUUGUAAUUUCACUUUAAAUCGAUAUUUAUAUUUUGGAGCCUUUCUAAACUUAUCAACCUAGUUAUAAUUACACCCUAAUUUGCGUUUAAGGUGAAAAUAAAUUAAACUUAUUGAUUUGUUGCAAUCAUACACUCUAAAAGUAAGCUGAGGUUGGAAUUUGAUUAAAAUAAUGUAAAAAAAUAGACUCCAUUACCCAAGUAUUUAAACAAUAAAUAAUAAAAUCAAACUCAAAUAUUCAUUAGUAAAUAAAAAAAUCAAGAUUGAAUAUUUGAUUUUAAAAUUGAAUCAAGUUCAAGAUGCAAAAAUAAUGAGUUGUAUAUUAAUUCAAUUUAGGGUGUAAUUGUGAUUAGGUUGAUAAAUUUAGGAUAUAAAAGUUUAAAGUAAAGUUGCAACUAUUCAAAAAGUUUGACGUGAAAUUGAAGGUUGGGCCAAUAAAACAAUAAAAUAUAUAUCAGUUGAUCAUCGGUAAAUUUUAUUUAUAGUUUUAUAAUUAAAAAGAUCAUUUUUUAUUUAAAUUAAAUAUUCAGAGCCUGGCUAGAGUUUUAUCUAUUGAAAAGAACUGAGUUAAUGUUUUUUUUAUUUAAAAAAAAAAAAUGCUAGUGAAAACUGAAAAACAAAAUAGGAAUAGAUGGGCUAGCUAGGUUUCGUCUCUGUCUUAUGCAGUGUUCCUGAAGCUUAGCUACUAUUUUAAUAUUUUAAUUUUUAAACUAAAAAAAAAAAAUAUUAUUAAUCCGGUUUUCUCUCUUCCCCCCCCCCCGGCCGCUGUCCCCCCCCCCUCCGAUAUUGACGAAAUCGAAAAACAUAAACUAAACCGACCAAUUCCGCUCGGUUUAGUUAAAUUUUUAAGAUUGACGGUUUAGUUUUGGUUUUAAUGGAGUUUGGAUUGAAAUUUUUUACUAUUUGAUUUGAUGUGAUUUUAUUUUUAUUAUUACUAUAUAAAACUAAAAAAAUUAAAAAUUAAACUGAAUUAAAAUCCAAAAUAAUACUCAAAUAAAAAAAAUUAAUUCAAUUUGAUUAUAUAAACUAAUCGGUUCAAUUUCAAUUUAAAAUUUUCAAAAUCUAAACAUUUUUUAUUUUGAUUUCGAUUUUGAACAAAACCAACACCCCUAAUCACCAGCAUAUCCCUUCUCCCCUUUUCAUCUCUCAGAAAAGAAAGAAAGAGUCGAUCAUUUUAUCAUAUUUACCCAAAAAUUUCUCUCUUUCUAAUCAACAAGAAAACAAGACAAAAAAAAAAUUCCAUCACUAAAUUUUGUCAGUGGGAGUUAAUUCAAGCUCAAGCAUGAAAAUAAUAACUGAAUUGAAAUUUUGGACACUGGCUCCAUUUACAACUUCAGUCUCACAGGAUGUGGGACCUAAACAGACAAAUCCAAUGGUAGGAGAAUCUGCGUUAGGAGCGGGAAAGAGUCAUAAAAAUAAAUUUUAGCAGCACAAGAAACCAAGAAAAAGAAUCUGCAGAUGAGAAAAAUCUGAAAGGGAGCAAGAAUUGCGGCCUAUGCCAUCUCAGCAGGGGACAUAAAACUAUACAUCAUACACUUGCUUAAUCAAUUUUAAUGUGUUUGUAAUAACAAGUUGUUAAAAGAUUAGAUUCCCAAUUUGAGACAUAAUAUCCAUUUUAAGAUAAUGCAUAACUUUGUUAAUGAAGUUGUUUUACACCACAUUUACAUUUUUGGUGCCUCUAAUUUAAUUAAUUUAUGUCAAUCCAUUAGUAUUUGCUUUUCAAAAUAUGGUUAAUCAUCACGUACAAACAUUAGAACCUAGCUUCUUAUCACUUAACCUCACUGUUUAGGCCCAUUUGGAUCAAUGAUUGGGCCUUAAUUGUUGAAUCACACUGGUCGUUGGUUAGCACUAAAGGAUCAAUAUUGAAGACAGAAUAAGAUUUUUAACUUCCAAAAUUUCAAUGACUUCCGUCCCUCGUCCCAAUGCAUGAAUUUCUAACAUUUCUUUUUUUUUUUUUCUUUCACCCGUCAAUAUUUCAACUUAUAAAAUUAUAUAUAUUAAACACUCUAAUUUAUAAAAUUAUUUCAUUCAGCAUUUAAUUUUACUUUUAUAAUUUUUAAAUUGAAUAUAUUAUUUUUUACUUUAAUGUGCUAUAUAUAUAAAAGGCGAACUAUCUUUUCAAGUGGAAGAAAAUACAAUUUUAAACCAAACAUUUUAAGUUGAUUGUUGGUUACCGAUGGAAGGAUCAACAUUUACAACUAUAAGUAUUAACUUCAAAACCCUCAAUGAAAAUCUUAAACAGUUGACAACUGAAACUUUAAAUUAAUUGUUGGUUAGCAAUCGAAAGAUCAAUAUCGACAACUAAAAAGAUCCUCAAUUAAAAUUUUGAACAGUUAACAAUAACACUAUUAUACAGUAGCUAUUGCAUAUUUUUAUUUCAAAAUAAAAAUGAAAUGUUCAUCAAGAAUUGAUUCGCUACAAAUAGAACAUACACAAAUUGCUAUGCUUCAGAAACCAUGAGUUGAAAUAUAAUCAUUUCCAACCAUUUCUGACCAUAAGGGUGAAAUUACCACCUGCUAGAAAUCCCAGCUUUCAAACUACAGGCGAAUUUGCUCUUAAGCCUGCAAAUUCGUCGUGCAUAGAUAGAUUCACCACCAUCUAAACUAAGCAAGCAGAGUACAUUCUCAAUAUGAAGGAUGCAGAUUCCUUACAAUGUGCCGCCUUUUACCAGACAACAAAAAUUGAAUCAAAAAUAACCUGACAAAGCAGUGCUAUAUAAUAAUAAUUUUACUUAUUUCAUCGUGUAACAUAGACUACUUCUUGAAUACAAGGACAUAGCCAAGUAAAAAUAAAUGGAUGGCAAAUUACAAAAACAAAACAAGCUAUAGUAAUUUGGAACCAUAUGCGAGCAACAAUCAACUCAACCCCAUGAAGGGUAGUGUCACAGCCAGUUGAAUCUAAUCAGAAGCUCCAAAUCAUCAAUUCUUUAAGCCUUUUAUGUUCUUAAUCAAAAAAAUCACAUUCAAGCUAAACAUUACAUAGUUACAAUAUUUCAUUUGCUAAGCUCUAUUUGGUUAACUUGCUAAAGGAAAAAGACUUUAGCAAGCUAAACAAACAUAAAGUCAAUAAAUCUGGAAAACCCUUGGGUUACAGUAAGAAGAUAUUGACCACCUAAGCCUUUAUUUGGAUGGAGAGAGGGAAGUUUUAUUAAAGUAAGGUGAGGUGAGAUAAGGUGCAACAAAAUAAUGUAACGGUCUUAUUUAUGUUUGAGACGAAGGUUUAUAUACGGCAUUAUUUGGUUUGCAUGAAUAUUACAAAAUAUCCUUCUCAUCAAAGUCGUUAUUUUCAGAAAUAUGAAUUGAUUGAAAUUAUUUUUUCUGAUAAAGUAUUGAUUUAUUGAUACUAAAUUAAUUCUUCCUAAAUUAAAUUUUUAAAGAUAUAUAAAUUAGUUAGAAAAAGGAAAAAAAAAUAAAAGAAAUAAUGAAGGGGGUAUUUUGGCUUCUAAAUUAUAAACAUGAAUAAUAUGGAAAAUUAAAAUGUUUAACCCUCCCCAAUUUUGGGUUGAAAAUGUGUUACCCCUCAAAUAACUACCAAAAAAUUUCCCUUCUAUUAGCCAAUCUAUAAAGGGCAUAUAAAGAUAGCAAACUAGUUAGCUAAUUGGGUAGUAGUAACUUUUUAACAUUGGUUGGCUCAAGUCCAAAUAAGCCCGCAUCACACAUUUUCACAUCAUGAGUUCUUACCUCUUAUCCAAUUCACCUCUACCCUUCUACUCUUUCAACAUUGUAAUACCCUCCAAAACCUCUUUUCGAACAACCCAAUAAUUUUGCCUUAGCUUAGCUUAGCUUAGCCCCAAAAAACCCCAAAAUAACCCCCAUCUAAACAAAACCUAAAGGCUAAUGAAACAUUUAAGAGAAUGUAUGAUACAAAAUUUACCUUAUCAAAGCAACAUGAUCAACAAACUUUUUUCAACAGGGCCGGCAGGACAUUAGAUUCCAAACUCCUGCAUUCAGCUUUUUCCCGUGUUUAAAGAUGGUUAAAGACCUCAAUUUCAAGACUAAUUGCUGGAAACAAAAGCAAGUAUAGUCAUAGACACAGACAAAACGUUGGUAUCACAGUACAGAGAUUCCCUAGACCUCAUUAUCCUCUUUAAGCAUUUGCAGAGGUUCCUUUUUUAUUCCUAAGCAACCAUAUAAAUUCUUCAAUAAAUCAUAGAAGAUAAAGUUCAUGUGAAAGUAUCUCUUCCAGAAAAAAUUUCACUCCAAAAUUCUGUUUAGAUCUAUUCAACAAAUUGAUAUACUUCUACGGUCCUCCAUAUUAUAAAUUAAAAUACAAAUGCUCCCACAUAAAGACUCAUAUAAUAACAAUAAUUUCAUUCCAAUAAAAAUGUUAUUGACACUACAUUGUUGGGUGGGGAUGGGGUUUGAUUGAAGCUAAAUAAAGCUAAGAAAGGAUUUCCAACAAUUCCUGUAGGAAGAAAAUAAAAAGUGGUGUAAUAUUCUCUCUGCCGUCAUACAUCUUUAAUUGAGAAAAGGAAGUAAUCAGGACAACAAGGUUACAUUCUUCACUAACUUUUGUGAGAGGCAGGGAGUGCUAUCACUUCCUCCUACAAUGGCAAAGCAGAAAGAGACCGCCGAAGGCGAAUUAUAAAUUAUAGGUGAUAUCUUGCAGUUCAUGAACUUGGAUUAAAGCAGGUGAGCUCUCAGUUAAUAAAAUGGCUAGUGGGCUAAAUGAAAACAAAACUCAGGUUCAAAAGAUGAUGCCAAUAUCCCCCAACAUGACUGAAGGAUCAGACCAAUAAUACAACUGAAGGCAUAGGUGCUUCCUCCAAUUAUUUCAGCUUAUUUGCACUCAUGGUGAACCCAACGGGAGGUUUCUAAAAUAUCUCAAUCAAGUAUCAAAGAAGAAAAUGUGUUUAGAGCCUAUUAUUUGGGGUAGAACUUAGAACAUGUAAGAAAUGAACCAACAGAAACUUCUAAACUGUGCAAUCAAUUCAAAAUAUGUAGGUUAACAAGCUUUUUCUAAAAUGAUACAUUUCCACAUACAUUUAGAUAUAGAAUAAAGAUAAGCGUAUUGUAUUUCCAAGUCACAACCAAUCAAUCACAAAUUUAUAAUUAUUCAAUGCAUAAAUGUAUGCUCCACCUUAAAUGAAAAUCAAAUCUAAACAAAAUAUUACCAUUUCAAAGUCUAUAUGACAAUCAUAUCCAAUUCUCUACUAAACAAAGGAUCAGAAUUAUCCAUCCAAACAAACACUAGGUAUUCACUGAGACUACUUGUAACUAGCAUGCAAAAUGAAAUCUUUAUAGAACUAAUAUCCGAGGAAUUUAACAAAACAAAGACAAAAAUAAAGGGGGAAAAAAAAAAAAAGAAAACUUGCUCUUACCCUCUCACCUAAAUUCAUUUUCCAUUCGUUUUACCUACUCGAACCAGCUCCUUCCCUUUGGACUUUCUCCGAGAAGAACUUUGUUGCAAACAUGUUAUCAAGGAAAAACUCCCUGUACGGAUGAUUCUUAGGCACAAGCUUCCUAAACUGCUCAAAUUUUUUCUCUGCCUCGUCUUUCUUCCUCAUCAAAGUAUAUAUAAUUCCUUGACACAAAUAAGGCCUAAAAUCCCUUGGCUCUUCCUUCACCAAUUCCUCAUAAACUUUAAGAGCAUCAAUAUAUUUCUCCUCCAUAACUCUAAUUUGCGCAAUUAAUAACUUAAAGUCCCUCAAAUCAGACUUCUUCUUCUCCUUCUUACAUUUAUCCAUAGCUCCUUCAAUUCUUUUUAACACCUCAUCUAAUGAAUCACCAGAUUCAGAAUUUGCCAUUACUAACCCAUGAUAAGCCUCAACACGAAGAGGAUCUUUCUCCAAUAUUUCCUCAAACCCUUUCCUCGCCGAUUCAAAUUCUCCACUGUAACUAUAAAUUUGAGCUUUCAGCAAUGGCCAUUCAUCCUCAUUGGGCUCAAGCUCAAUCAAACGGUCAACAACUUCAAUUGCUCCUAGAAGCUUCCUCGACUUGAUCCUAACCUCCAUAAGAGAUCGUAAAGCUUCAGUAUCCUCUGGAUUUCGACUCAAGUGCUCCUCAAGAGCUCUUUCUUGUUCUUCAAACGAUAAAUUCUCAUUCGACGAUUGCUUGGCGGGCUCUACGGUAGCAGGGGCGGUGGCAGGUGCAGCAAUGGCGGGUUUAUUACAGAGCCGCGAGAAGAAUAAUGCAGCAGCCGCGGUGAGAGUGAUGCAGGUGGUUUUGAGGAGAGGGUUUAGGGUUUGAAGAAGAGAAGGUUGAUGGGUUUGCGAUAUUUUAUAGAGUGGAGCACGAGACGAUGAAGCUCUAACAGAGGAGAAUUUGAAAGGAGACGACUGGGUUUUGAAGGACAGGGAGAAUAAGGGCUUAGAGAAGGAUGGACGGUUGCAAUUGAGAGACAGGUUAAAGGAUUGGUUAGGGCAGUGAAGCUUAGCAAUCGAAGAAUCCAUGUUUCAGUGAGAGGGAGAGAGAAAAAUAGAGGCUAAAACCCUGUUUAUGAUGAUGGGAAGACGAGAGUGUUCAAAACCCUUGUUAACAAGGAGAAUAUGCUGUUUGGCUGGCGUCAGAGAGAAAUACUGAACGGUGUCGUUUUAACUAAUUUGCGUUGUUGAUGUGGGUAGUUCUUAUGGGCCUGGGCCGAAGUAUAAACUGCCCGUUGUUGACGUGGGUAGUUCUUAGCAUUUUAAUAAGGCCGGACCAGAAUUUGUAUUGUAGGUAUUGGGUUUGAGAAACACACAAAUAGGUAUCCAUAUUUUAAAUUUAUUGACACCAGACCUUAGCUCCCUAUUGACAUAAAUGAAUGUAAAUUAUAAAAAAAUUUCAUUUGAAAAUAAAUUAUCAUAUUUGAUAUAGUAAAAUGAAGAAUAUAAUUCAAUUGAUUUUCAUAAAAUUUAAAGAGAGGAUGUGAGUGGAGAAUAGAUAUUUUAAUUGUAUAAAUUUUAUGGAAUUUGUUUGAAAUUUUAUUAAUUUUGAUGAGACUUAGUUUAGAUAUACUCAAUUUUACUAAAUUGAAUUCACAAAAUAUUUAAGAGAAAAAAAAAUGAAUACAUACCUGAAAGUUUAUCGUUUGAAAAAUCAUAUUUGACUCCCUAAAUAAUUAAAAAAAAAUUCAUUUGCUGCCCCCAAAAUAAUUGUCAUAGCUCCAUCCCAGUAUAUAUAUAUUUUUACAUAAUUUAGGAUUUAACUCAAAAUCAUUAUGGGAUUUGGAAAGAAUAUUUUAUAUUUACGUUAGAGAAAUAAUUUUUUUAAGUUAUUAUCUUAUUUGUUGUAGAAUUAUUUCUUAUCUAAUAUAAGAUUUGUAUUUGAGAGUUAUUCUUAAUUGAAUAUAAAUUUAUAUAUAAAUUAGCCAAAAAAUCAUGCUUCGCAUGCAGAUAUUUAAAAUAUCAUGAAUUAUCAAUUGUUUAGAAAGAACAAUAAAAAAAACUCUACUUGAAAUAAAUCAGUAAUAGUAAAUAUCAAAAUAAUUUGUUAUAAAGAAAAUUAUGAUAUUAUUUGCAAUAGCAUAUAAAUUUUAAAGAUAUACUUCUAGUUAAAUGUAAAUUCAAUUAUACAAAGGUAAAGAAUAUUACUAUUGAGUUGAUAACGUAAACGAAUAAACUUGAUAUAUAUAUCAAAUCAAUAUACAUAUGCAUAACUUACAAAUGCCAAAUUAAAUAGGGAUGGAGUUUGCAAGCUAACAUAUAACAUUUCAAAGUUAACGUAUGACAUCUAGUUAUAUAUAUAUAUAUAUAUAUAUAUAUAUAUAUAUAUAUUCGAUAAUAAUAAUUACUAAAUUUCAUUUUGAGAAGCUUUUGUUGUUAGAUUGAAAUUAAAAGUAAAAGUCUUUACCUAGAAGUUGUGACUCGGUUGGAAAUGCAGGCUAAACAUAUGGAAAGAAUUUUCGAAUUUGAUCACCACUAAAUACAUCUGCAGGGGAGGACGAAAAGUGUUAACUGUGAUUAAGUCCCGAACUGUAUUGUUUAAUUGAUCCCUGGUAAUAUGGUGUGAAUACUAGUGGUUUACAAAAAAAAAAAGAAGUAAAAUCUUUGAUUAAAUAAUGGUCUUUGUACAUAAAAGAAUUGAUAUAUAUAUAUAUAUAUAUAUUUUACUUAUUUUUCUAAUUUUAUAUUUUCAGAGAUUAUUCUAGUUGUAAAAUUUUUUUAAUUAUGAUAUGAGUAAUUUUAAUAAACCUAAUUUAUAUAAUUAAAAUUUUUAUUUGUAAAUCAAUUCAAAAACCUCAAACGUUAGAAUUUGAAAUUCAACAAAUUUCAUUCAAUUUAAAUAUAUCACAGAUUUAAAAUAUACAUGCAUAUAAAUAUAGCAAUUUAAAUAUAUCAUUGAUUAUACCAAACAUCAGCAAUUACUACAGAAAUUCAUCCUUUUUUUUUUUUUUUCUUAGUACAAACCCGAGCUAAUAGAGUUGGACCAUAAACUUUAAUUGUGACCUAGAUCAAGUUCCAUCAUUUUUGGGAAAAUUUAAACAAAUGCAAUGAAAGGGAAAAAAAAAGUUUAAAAAAAAAUUACAACUUCAAUAAGGGAAAUAAAUAGCUUAUCAUAUUUACAUUUAUAGAAAUUGACAAUAAGUACGUAAGGAUACAAUGGCUUUGAUUUGCACAUCAUCACAUAUUUUACAGAGUGAAAUUACAAAUUUAUAAUUCUUCAAAGUUCCUUUAAAACGCCUUUGCUAGUUUUGUGAACACCCUUUGCAGCAAGUUUUAGAGUCUGAUACAAUUUCUAACCUGUGCGAAAAUGCUUUCAACAUUAACUUGGUACUACCAAUUAGCUAUGUGUCAAAAAAUGGCGAAGCUACAAUCUGCAUGCGCAUAUAGGGAAAGAGAUGAUGGAAAAUGUAAUCAUCAAUUAAACCAUUUGUUUCCUUUGUCCUUUUUGUUAUCUCCAGGUAAAAGAGACUUCUGUGACCAAUAUUUUACUGCAGUAUAUGAAAUUUAGAAAUUAUAUCAAAACUGCAGUAUAAUCACACCAAUAUAAUAAGAAGCAUCCAAAUAAAAUUCGUGUCAAACAAUAUUCAAAAUUAUACAAAACACAGAAAAGGUGAUAAUCAAGAAUCAAGAAACAAAAAACGCCAAACAAUACAUACUGAUAAGUGCAUUAUCAAGUGCUUUUAUUGUCUAUAUUCGUAUGCAUUUUUGGGUUAUUUAUGUGCUUAAUUCACUUUGUUAGACAAUUUUUACCAAUUAGACAUUAUUUUAGUUGCAUUUGGAGUAAUAUGAUUAAAUUGGUAAAAUUCCAGCAUUUUUUUNNNNNNNNNNNNNNNNNNNNNNNNNNNNNNNNNNNNNNNNNNNNNNNNNNNNNNNNNNNNNNNNNNNNNNNNNNNNNNNNNNNNNNNNNNNNNNNNNNNNNNNNNNNNNNNNNNNNNNNNNNNNNNNNNNNNNNNNNNNNNNNNNNNNNNNNNNNNNNNNNNNNNNNNNNNNNNNNNNNNNNNNNNNNNNNNNNNNNNNNNNNNNNNNNNNNNNNNNNNNNNNNNNNNNNNNNNNNNNNNNNNNNNNNNNNNNNNNNNNNNNNNNNNNNNNNNNNNNNNNNNNNNNNNNNNNNNNNNNNNNNNNNNNNNNNNNNNNNNNNNNNNNNNNNNNNNNNNNNNNNNNNNNNNNNNNNNNNNNNNNNNNNNNNNNNNNNNNNNNNNNNNNNNNNNNNNNNNNNNNNNNNNNNNNNNNNNNNNNNNNNNNNNNNNNNNNNNNNNNNNNNNNNNNNNNNNNNNNNNNNNNNNNNNNNNNNNNNNNNNNNNNNNNNNNNNNNNNNNNNNNNNNNNNNNNNNNNNNNNNNNNNNNNNNNNNNNNNNNNNNNNNNNNNNNNNNNNNNNNNNNNNNNNNNNNNNNNNNNNNNNNNNNNNNNNNNNNNNNNNNNNNNNNNNNNNNNNNNNNNNNNNNNNNNNNNNNNNNNNNNNNNNNNNNNNNNNNNNNNNNNNNNNNNNNNNNNNNNNNNNNNNNNNNNNNNNNNNNNNNNNNNNNNNNNNNNNNNNNNNNNNNNNNNNNNNNNNNNNNNNNNNNNNNNNNNNNNNNNNNNNNNNNNNNNNNNNNNNNNNNNNNNNNNNNNNNNNNNNNNNNUUGUUUCUUGUUCUUAUUGAGUUGAUUCUAUUGAAUUCUUUGCUAAAAAGGCCUAUUAGUGAAUUGUUUGGUAGGAUUAAGUGCUAUUUCAGAUUUCAUAAUCCGUAAUUAUUAUGAAAGUUUGAAUGUUAGUAGCAAUUAGGUAUUACUGAUUAUAUUUCAGGUUUUCAGUAAUAAUCUAUAGAGACAAUAGAGUUGAAUUAAAUGAUUUAUGCUUUAUAAAUUGUUGUUCAAGUUUAACUACUUCCUGAUUCUUAAUGCUUUUAUUAAAUAGAAAUGGAUUGCUUAAUACCCGAUCGUUUAAUAAUUAGAGUUAAUGAGGGUGCUGGGUUCAAGUUAACGAAAUAGGAGAGUUUUGGGAAUUUAUCAUGUUUUUUUGGUAAAUUUCAGUUAAGUAUUCAAAGAGUAAUUAAAUCAUAAGUUGUCUGUGAUCAAUUGUGCAUUAGAUUAGAAAUCACUUUUUUCAUCAAUUUGCAUUACUACUUUAGUUUAAUUAAUUAAUUUUCUUUUUGAACUGUUAAGUUGAAUUUUUCACAAACAAACCCCCCUUCUUUUUAAACACAAAAAUUAAGAUUUCAGUCUCUAAGGUUCGAUCUGAAUUCACCACUUCUACAGUUAAAUUCAGAAAUUUAAAUUUGGUGGAACCGACAAACAUCACGUACCAACAGUAGAAAAGCAGAAGAACACACACCCAAAAAAGUCCAAGAAAGUUGAAGAACUGAACCAAGAAAGUAGAAACUCAAGAUCAGCUAGGAAAGACACAAAAGAAUUCAAAGAAAGUUCCAGAAAUGAAAUCCAAAUAUCUAUGAACCAAGGAGCCUAUUUAUAGGGUAAAUAAAACAAAACUCGAUUUACAAUAAUAUAUAUGUAAUUAUUAUGUAACAAAAUAUAUAUUCUCACGCCUUAAUCGCACAAUUAGUGAAUUACCUUUGCUAGUGAUCGGAAUGUUCAUCAACAUCAAUCAAUUCCAAUUUUUACAUUCCCUCUGUAACGCUAAUGUGAAAAGCUGCAAAAAGAAAUUUCAUUGUUUCCUUGUUUAAUAGCAAAAUCCACUUGAACAUAUAGUCAUAACAACAUUGGUAAAUAAAUACAUUCAACCAUGGUAACCUGCAACUAUUUUAUCAUAUAUCUUAGAUAAUUCCUACGCAACUCAGCAAGUCAUAGUGACCCCACCCAUUACUUCACGGUGUCGAAAUUAAAAAUAGAAUAAAAGCAAAUAAAAGAAAAAUUACCUGAACAGUGAUUCUGAUUUUUAUUUUAAUAUCUAUAUAAUAUUAUUGGAUUUGGAUCAAAAGUUUUCGGUGCAUAUAUAAAGAGAGAGUCGAGAGACUUUAGGCAGAGUGUACAUAUAAUUUACGAUGUUUUAGAGUGAUAAGUACAUAGAUAAAACUCAACAAUUUAAAGAAUUCAAUAUCGAAUGCGUAGUAAAUAUUUAGAGUGAUAGUAAGUAGAUAAAAUUCAACAAUUUAAAUAAUUUCGUAUAAAUAAUGCGUAGUAAAUAUUAAUUAAAAAUAUUUAUAUUUUCGAAUCACAAUACACAAAAAUAAAGCAAAUCUUUAAAAAUUUCUAAACAAAGAAAAAUAAAAAGCUCAACAAAUAGAGAGUUUUGAAUUUUCUCUUUGAAUAUAGAUUCCUUUAAUCUUAGGAGCAUUAUAAAAGAGAUUAUUUGGUUUUCGUUUAUCAAUAUGUGAGAAGUCCAUGAGGAAAUACUUUCCUCCAAUAACUUUCAUGGCUUUGACCAGCUAUGCACGUCGUUACAUGGAGUAGUCGCGAGAGUCUUUUGCCCAAUAGUGUGGGUACCUUUUGUGAUGUAUAUAAUUUUUUUUGAAGGUUUGUGAUGUAUAUAUGAUGUUAACAUGCUAGUGUGAACAUGUAUUUUCUCCGCACUGUAUAUAGGGUUUCUUCAACAAAAUUAACUGUUUUGAUAGCUAUUAGUUAUUUUAGUAGCGUUUAGCUGUUAGCAAUUUGAGUAGUUUUUCAUAAAACGCUAAAAGUUCAAUGUUACAUGAACUAACUUUUUAUAAAACGUUCCCUAACCUCUAAAAGGUAAUUUGAAUGUUAUGUUACUGAACACUAUAAAAAAUAGUAUUGUCAAAAUAUUAAAAGCUACUUAAAAAACUGUUGCCGAAUACAACUAUAAUAUGAUAUGUAUAAAUUAAAAUGGAUUGAUUAUAUGUACAAAUUAAAACGGAUUGAUUAGGUCAAGAAUGAACCUCUUAGAUUAAAAACAAUUCGAAACAAUUUAAAAAAAGGUCGAUCAGAGUGACCUUUCUUCAUUCUUUUGAAUAUAAUAGAAAAUGAAAAUUUUUAAUAAAAUUAUUGACAUUGGAAACUAUACAUCCAAAGCUUUCCGAUGAUAUAUAGUAAGUCAAAAUCACACUUGGAAUGAAGGUUUCGAGUUUUAGUGUACGUUUUUCAUUAGAUAAUAAUUGGAGUCAAAAUAAGUUUUUCCAAAAUAAAAUAAAUUAAGGCGGCAACUCCUUUCAAAAAUUAUUUCUUUUUUACAAUAAAAGCGGUAAUUGUUGCUUCUGUAAGUUCAAGUCUUUCAUUUAAUUUACCAGUGAUAUUAGUUGCUUCUGUGAGAGCUCCUCCCAUUAGUUGGGAGCUUAUAAUUUCAUAUUUCAUUUCACUUUUUAAUAGGUACUUGUCACACUCUGCUCAUGGUACCACUUCAAUCUUAAUCAUAGUACUUAGCUUCACAAGGCGGUCCUUGCUGGUUCAUUUUAGAGUUUCUAGACAAUAUUCUUUCUUUGCAUUGCUAUUGUCAUGCCAACUCUUUUCCCAACAUAAGUAUUGAUGGCUCAAAGCUAGCCACUAUCUUGUAAAAAUAAAUACACUCUUGGAUUAAAAUUCUCUUUCUAGCUAGGUGAAUUCAACAAAGAAUUAUACUCCUCUUAUCCCGAAAUAUAAGUCAUUUAAAAUUUUUCACAAGAAUUAAAGAAGCAAUUAAUUCUCCUAGAUUAUAACAAAUUCAAGAUUAAUUUGAUCAAAUUAUUCUUUAUCUCAAAACCUAUAGUUACUUGUGAAGUAUUUAUUGUAUUUAGUAUAAACAAGGACAAUAUUGAAAACACAUCAUUUAUUACUUCUUGAAAUACACAAAAUGAAUUUUAUUUUGGGACAAAAUAACAAAUUAAAAACGACUUAUAUUUUAGGAUAGAAGGAGUUCUAAUUAAUUUAUGCUCUAAUUAAUACUACAUAGAAAAUUAAGAUUACCUACAAAAAUUUCUAUAGGCAACUUUAACAAUUCUAUUGUUAAUUACAAUUACUUAUAAAAAAUCAAUAAAAUCUUGUUGGCUAUAAAUUUCUUGUCGCUAAUUUUCUUCUAACCAAUAACAAUUUUGUUGGUAAUUUAACAAUAGAAAAAUUAUUGCUAAAUCAAUUAUUUAUGUCGAUAAAAUUGAAUUAAAAUUUUGUAAAAAGUUAUAAUUAAUUUUAUCAGUAAUCUGUCGAUAUUUUAUUGGUAUUUGUUGAUCAUUAUAUUUAAUUUUUACUUUUCAAAAUUAAAUUAUUUGGCUGGUACAUCAAAAAACAAUCAACAGGCAAAAUUGCAGUUUUUAAUUUUUAUAACAUACCAAUUGUAUUUUAAUAAUUAUAUUAAUUAAACUUUAAUAACUAAAUUAAAUAAAGAAAAUUAAUUAAAAAAGUACAAAUAAGAAAAUAAAAGAAAAAGAAAAAAGAUUAAGAAGAAUAAUAAGAAAAAAAAAAGGAGAAGGAGAAAAUUUUUUAGAAUAAGAAAGAGAAGAAUAAAAAAUAAGAAAGAGAUGAUAAAAGAACCAAAACAUUGAAGGAAUGGGAGGAGAAGAAAUGAUGAAGAAAAAAGAAGAAGAAAGAAAGAAAGAAAGAAAAAAGAACAAAAAGAAAGAUGAAAAAGGUAACUAAGAAAAGGAAAAAAAAAAAAAAAAGUAGAAGAAUAAAACAAAUGAAUGAGAGGUAAAGUGAGAUACAAAAUUUUGGUGCUUAAAAAUAAAAUUUUAAUAAUGAUAUGCUCUAUCUGUCCUGAAAAUAUAGUCCUUUUUUUUUUCACACAGAUUAUAAAAUGAAAGUUAUUAUGGUUAGUAAACAAUUUUGUUACUGUAACUUUCCUAUUAUACUUAUCUUAAAUAAUACAUUAGUAUUAUUAAUAUUGAAAUAAUAAAAAUUAUAUUGAUAAUAUAAAUAUGCAAUUAAUGAAAGUGACAAAUAUUGAUGAAUUUUUAAAAUUCAAGAGGAGAAAUAUGGAAGAAUAAAACUUUUUAUUAAAUAACAUAUGAAUUUAAAGUAAUAUUGACUUGGGAACGGACCAAAAAAGUAAGUAAUUAAUAAAAACUAUUGAAAAUAAAAUAAAAUUUAAUAAGGACAUAAUAGACAAUUUAAAAGUUAAUUAUAAUGUAAAAAAAGUAAGUGAAAUAUAUUUUGGGACAGAUCAAAAUGAAAAUAUGGACUACAGUCGAAGAGAAUAAGUUUAAUCAUUUUGUUUUCUCUCAGUACUUAGACAAUUAAUCAUUCUUCAACGAGCAUUUGGCGAGAGCCCCUCUAAGUGGUUGGGAGCUUGCAAUUUCACAUUUUGUUUCACUCUUUAAUAGGGUUCUUUUCACUCUUUGCUCAUAGUACCACUUCGCCAUCAGUCUUUCACGAGUUCUUUGCUUUAUAAAUUGGUCCUUACUAGUUCAGUUUUUCUACGCAUCAUUUCUUCCUAUGCAUUGUUAUUGUCAUUCCAACUCUUUUAGUUUUACAAGUUGGUCAGCUAGUGCCAGAUCUAUCUUAUAAAAACGGAAUCGAUUGACCUAUAUUUUUUUUCUUAAUUCUCUUUAGAUACACGUGUAUUUUUCUCGAUUGAUCCCUCUUAAAAUUUGAAAUAAAAGUAUCUUUUCUAAUUUAUCAUUUAUCUCACUAUUAAAUUCUUCCGUCUAAAAAGUGAGCUCUUAUUUAUUCAAAAAAUGAACAUAUUCUUUCUAAAAAGUAUAUCUAAUUAACGGUAAGUUUAUAUUUCUUGUUUCUCUAGAAUUAUGAUGUACUCAUAAUAUAUUAUAUUAUUUAGUAAGUUUCUUAAAAGAAUUUUUUUUUAACUAUUGUAGAGGAGAAUUUAAUUUAAUCUCAUUGUUGAGAAUUAGUGUUGUUACUAAGAAAAAGAAAAAUAGAAAGUUUUAGCAAGACAAUAAAAGCAUCUCUAAUGUUAAUAUAAAUCAUAACUGAUUUAUCGUAUAAAAUAAAAGGUGUAAAUGGUUGCUUAGUUAAAUAUCUAUUUAUGAACGUUGAUUUUUGAAAUCUCUAUACAAUUUACUAGUUUUAAAUUCUCUUUUUUUUCUUUUUUUUUUUCAUGUCCACAAUAUACGAUCAAAUCAUUAAAGAGUAAUGAAUCUCUACAGUCUCUGAUAAAACCUCUAUAAAUAAAAUAUGUGGCAGACAAUGUCUUUUUUUUAUUUUUUUUUACACUUUAACUUAGGAUAUCAAAUAAAUAUUAACAUUAAAAAAUAUUUUAUUUUUUUUAAUAUGACAAUUACAAAUCACAGUGUUUUCCGAUGUACUUGUGCACGCACAACGAUCGUCAGGUGAAAAAUAAUUUAGUGAGUGAUAAAGUGGUGUGAUGAGGUUCUGUUCCUCUGACUCUUGAGUAUGUUGUUCACCGUAGACUUGCCAAUCAGACGAUUGAAAUGGGCAUUGGACUGAAGACUUGUCAUUUUCUCCUUCAUAAUUUACAAAAUUAUUUUUUUUAGUACUCGUGAUUUAUUAAAUUAUAUAGAAACAUCUGUCAUUAUUAUUAUUUGUGAGGUCGAGACGAGAAAGAAAGAAGUGGAAUAUCAAUCUAGAAUGGGGAUGAGUAAGAUCAAUGUCAAAAGAGUGAGACAAAAAAUAAAAAAGAUGUACACAAAAAUAAAUUUAAAAAAUAUUAAAAAGAUUACUUAAAUAAAUAAAAAAUAUUAUUAAUUAAUUACAUUAUAAUUUUAACCCAAAAUUUUAAAUUAAACCUUAGUAAUAACAAAUCAUUUUUUUUCUUUAACUGAAAUAUUGAAAAUUAAUUGAAAAUAUAAUUUUUUGAUUUACAAAAAUUUAUGAUAAAUAUUAAAAAAAUAUAUGAUAAAUUAUAGUAGUGGCACGUGACACUGAUGGAGCCAGAUAUUUUCUUUAGAUAGCCAAAGUAAAAUGUUAAAUUAUUAUUUAUCAAGAUGCACAGUAGAUAAUUUGUCAUUUAAUGAACUUGUCAAAUAAUCCGGACAUAUGUCCUUUGGUCAAUUUCUUUUUACUCCUGAGUUCUGUAAACGAAAAAGCUAUGUAAUCUUUACAUCUAAUAAAUACAAAUCACUUUAUCUUUAUAAUUAGAAAUUGAGACAUAAAAUUAAAUUGAUACUGUUUUGUCUCAAAUUUCUAAAUUACUAAUUAACAAGGAAACAACAGUUCAUUUAUAAAUGCAGAUUCUUAAAACCCCCUAAAAAAAUUCAACCCAUCAUUCAAUCUUCAACCCCUGCAUUUAAUCUCAAAUCGAUAUAUAUAUACAAUUAUAAUGAGUAAUAAUAAUAAAUUAUUUUUUACUGCUAGCUAGAGGGAAGUAUUACUUUACCCAGUGCAUUAGAGAAAAGAAUAUAUGCACAUACACACAAACUCUUGAAACCUCAAAAAAUGACUCAAAACAGAAAUAUAUAGUUCUAUUUUUUUUCCAGUUUUCUAAAUACUAUUUUCUUUUAAGUCAAACAGAUUUAGGAUAUAAAAGAAAAAAAAUAUUAAUAUAAAAAAAUUAAAAAUGCCUAAUCAUCAAGAGGGCAUCUAUUUAUUGCAAGUGGAUAUAAAUCUCUUACUAAAUUAAAGUGAUAAUAGUUACCAAUUAAUUAAAAGAAAAUAAGAAAUUAUUAUUACUAUAAUUAUAAUAAUAAAACCAUAAUUUUAUAAUAUUACAAAAUUAUAAUCACUUACAGUUUUGCAACAAUAGAUGCAUCUAUCCACGAUGAGCUUCUAAUCGUAGUACCUUUCUUCAAACCAUUCCAAAGAACAAACAAAUAGUUAAGUAUCAAAUAUUCAAUAGAAGAAAAAUAUUGCCUAUUUUAAUUAGAUUAUUGAUUUACUUACUUUGAUUGUAUCUCCAAAACCUAUUGGAUAUAAAUAUAUUUAUCACCUUAUAUCUAUAAUAUUGUUGCAUGUAAUAAAAAAGACCAUAAAAUUUAAGGUUUAUAAAAUUUAAUAUCGUAAGAAUUAUUAUAACAAAAUAAAAUAAUUAUAUAAAAUAGAUAAUAAACCAUAAAAAGAAUUGAAUAUCAAAUAAAAAUUUGAUAUGGGAUGUGAGAUGAUAUAAAAAUUAGAUCAAGAAACAAAAGUCAUAUCACAUUAAUCAAAAACUGCAAAAUUAGAUGAAAUAAAACAAUAAAAAAUUUUAGAUCUUUCAAUCAAUAAAUAAGAAUGGGAGAACAUUUUCGAAAUGUCAAAUAUUAAACAAGAAGCUUAUAUAUUGCUUUCCAAUUACCCAUUGUCAAUCACAUAUCGAAAUCCAAUUUUUGAGUCAUCAUACCAUCCGAUUUUUAUAUUAUAUAAUUAUUAUAUUAUAAGCAAAUUAUUACUUAUUAAAUACAUGAAUAUAUAAAGAUAUUAUAAGUAAUAUCGAGUACAUAAAAACAUAAAGGUGUUGUGCGGUGCCCACUCAAAUGGGAUCCACAUGUGUGAAAGUAAGAACAAAAUAGGCGCAGUCAGUUCAAUAGUGAUGGCUUUGAAUUGCUGCACAUGGGCGGUGCAACUUGAAUGAGUUGUACACGGCUCAUUAAACACGUUCCUACGCGUUAACCUGCCUAUAAAUAGAGGCAGAUGCACCUCAGUUUAGACACACCAGAAACGAGAGAAACAAAAUGUAGAGAGAGAGGUUAUCUAGUUUCCUAAAACUAGGGGAGAGAAAAAUAGUGAGAAAAUUAUUAUGGAGUGUUUUUGGGAAACACUGUGAGUGCCACUAUUUUUGUAUUACUCUCUUUGUGUACCUACUAUUUUUAAUAGUGGAAGAAAAAUAUUCAGAGUUUGUCCCGUGGACGUAGCUCUAAACAGUUGAGGGUGAACCACGUAAAUUUCUGUGUGUCACAAGUUUAUUAUUCCACUGCGUUAAUUUUCUCUUACUCGGUUGAAAGGGCCCAACGAGUGGUAUCAGAGCUGAUGCCCAACAACUGGUAUCAGAGUCGAUAUCCUAACAAGUGGUAUCAGAGCCGAAGGUUUCGAGAUAGCGGUACCGGAUCCGUGGAUAUAUUUUGAAAAUAAAUAUACCACGAUGAAGAGAAAAUUACGACGAGUCUGUUGGUGCUGUCCGCUCGGAAAGACGUUGCAUAAUCGACUUAGUAAUGAAUAGUAAAAUAGUAACUCGGGGUUGAUGGUGAAUAGUUACUAUUGGCGUUACUUGAGCCGUCACUAUUAAGCCUAGCACUAUUUACGCAUAGUACUAUUCACGUGUACAGUUACUAUUCAUGCAUAUAGUUACUAUUCAAGUAUACUGUUACUAUUCAUGGUCACUAUUCACGUAUACUACUGUUCACGUAUACGGUUUAUAUUGGUGGUGAUAUUCUGCACAAGUCAAAAUGGACAAGCAAAAUGAUCAGUCUNNNNNNNNNNNNNNNNNNNNNNNNNNNNNNNNNNNNNNNNNNNNNNNNNNNNNNNNNNNNNNNNNNNNNNNNNNNNNNNNNNNNNNNNNNNNNNNNNNNNNNNNNNNNNNNNNNNNNNNNNNNNNNNNNNNNNNNNNNNNNNNNNNNNNNNNNNNNNNNNNNNNNNNNNNNNNNNNNNNNNNNNNNNNNNNNNNNNNNNNNNNNNNNNNNNNNNNNNNNNNNNNNNNNNNNNNNNNNNNNNNNNNNNNNNNNNNNNNNNNNNNNNNNNNNNNNNNNNNNNNNNNNNNNNNNNNNNNNNNNNNNNNNNNNNNNNNNNNNNNNNNNNNNNNNNNNNNNNNNNNNNNNNNNNNNNNNNNNNNNNNNNNNNNNNNNNNNNNNNNNNNNNNNNNNNNNNNNNNNNNNNNNNNNNNNNNNNNNNNNNNNUCAAGAUUUCUCAGCCUUCCAGAAUGAAGAAUGUAUUAGAUCUGGUACAUUCAGAUCUGUGUUGACCAUUGACGGUGUCAUAUGGUGGAAAUCGAUACUUCGUUACAUUUAUCGAUGACCAUUCUAGGAAGACCUGGGUAUACACUUUGAAGUCCAAAGAUUUUACUCUCACAUGCAAAGUUUUCUAAGAGAUUUUGGGGUGAAGCUUUACUCACAGCAAUUUAUCGUUCACCUUGUUUCCCUCUACAGUAUGAUACUCCAGAGAGAGUAUGGUUAGGAAAGGAUGUUUCCUAUGAUCAUUUGCNNNNNNNNNNNNNNNNNNNNNNNNNNNNNNNNNNNNNNNNNNNNNNNNNNNNNNNNNNNNNNNNNNNNNNNNNNNNNNNNNNNNNNNNNNNNNNNNNNNNNNNNNNNNNNNNNNNNNNNNNNNNNNNNNNNNNNNNNNNNNNNNNNNNNNNNNNNNNNNNNNNNNNNNNNNNNNNNNNNNNNNNNNNNNNNNNNNNNNNNNNNNNNNNNNNNNNNNNNNNNNNNNNNNNNNNNNNNNNNNNNNNNNNNNNNNNNNNNNNNNNNNNNNNNNNNNNNNNNNNNNNNNNNNNNNNNNNNNNNNNNNNNNNNNNNNNNNNNNNAACCAGAUGAAGAUUAUGGUGUUCAUGUUCAACCACCAGCACCGGAAGGUUCUCAAACAUUAAGAAGAUCUAGUAGAGUCUGACAACCAUCUACUAGAUAUCCUGUCAAUGAGUAUAUAUUGACGACUAAAGGGGGAGAACCUGAAAGCUUUGAAGAAGCUAUGGAAAUGAACACAAGAGGAACUGGAUUGAAGCCAUGCAAGAUGGAAUGAAGUCCUUGCAUGAGGGUGAAACAUUUGAGCUGGUGAUGUUGCCCAAAGGCAAGAAAGCUUUGAAGAACAAGUGGGUGUUCAGGAUCAAGCAGGAAGAACACAGCUCCCAACCACGAGUCAAAGCUAGACUGGUUGUGAAAAUGACAUCCAUUCGGACAAUGCUCGGAACGGCCGCCAGUUUUGAUCUGGAAAUCGAGCAAAUGCAUGGAAAGACUACCUUCCUAUAUGGAGAUUUGGAAUAAGAAAUAUACAUAGAGCAGUCAGAGGAUUUGGUAGAAAAAGAGGAUUGUGUUUGCAAACUGAAGAAGAGCCUGUAUGGCUUGAAGCAGGCACUGAGACAUAGCUAAGUAAGUCUUUUGCAUUGAAAGACUCGGGACUAGCAAAGCAAAUUCUUGGCAUGAAGAUCGAAAAGCCAAGAAAUUAUGGUUGUCACAGGAGAAGUACGUUGAGAGAGUACUUCAAAGGUUUAGAAUGGAGAAUGCUAACGUGUCGUGGCAGUCAAGAUUAUUGAAGCGUGCAAAGAGUUGCUGUGUAACAACAGAACCAAGACCGAAAAAAGAUCUACAGGUGGUGUCUUGUGUCGAAAGUCUUCCCGACAAAAGGAGGUCGGGCGGCGUGUCCCGAAAAGUUGUAGCGGCGGUACAAGAUGGUGAGCAGAUCUAAUAGAUUAUAGCUGCAGGGGAGAUGAUGGCUAACGUCUCCACUUGAGUGUGCAGGGGGAGAUUUGUUGUGCGGUGCCCACUCAAAUGGGACCCACAUGUGUGAAAGUAAGAACAAAAUAGGAGCAGCCAGUUCAAUAGUGAUGGCUUUGAAUUGCUGCACAUGGGCGGUGCAACUUGAAUGAGUUGUACACGGCUCAUUAAACGCGUUCCUACGCGUUAACCUGCCUAUAAAUAGAGGCAGAUGCACCUCAGUUUAGACACACCAGAAACGAGAGAAACAAAAUGUAGAGAGAGAGGUUAUCUAGUUUCCUAAAACUAGGGGAGAGAAAAAUAGUGAGGAAAUUAUUAUGGAGUGUUUUUGGAAAACACUGUGAGUGCCACUAUUUUUGUAUUACUCUCUUUGUAUACCUACUAUUUUUAAUAGUGGAAGAAAAAUAUUCGGAGUUUGUCCCGUGGACGUAGCUCUAAACAGUCGAGGGUGAACCACGUAAAUUUCUGUGUGUCACAAGUUUAUUAUUCCACUGCGUUAAUUUUCUCUUACUCGGUUGAAAGGGCCCAACGAGUGGUAUCAGAGCUGAUGCCCAACAACUGGUAUCAGAGUCGAUAUCCUAACAAAAGGCACAAUGUUUUAUGCCAUUGAUUAUUGUAAUAUUGUCCAUUAUAAUUUGUAAUACGAAUUCAUGAAUUCCUUACACGAUCUCACAUAAUUUCAAAGUAUUCUAUUAUCUCAAUCUUUUAUCUUAUGAGCAAUAACAUUAUUCAAACUUGGUAAACUUAUUGGAUUUCUUAUUAAUUAAAUUUAAUUAAAAUAUAAUUGAAUAUUUGACCAUGAUUAAUCAAACUAAUAUAAUAUUCAAUAAUAUAUAAAGAAUUACCUUUUUAAUGUAAGCAAAUUAAAAAUCACGGAUCUUAAAUUUUAUCGUGGCUAUAAGUUAUCCCGACCCACUUUAAACUAUUUGAUUAAGAAUGUGACAGUACGAAAUCAAAGCAGUAGAAUGAAUUAUGAUAAUAACGCAUUAUAAAAUAAUAAAAAAAUAAAAAAAUAUAAAGAGAGAAUACGAGAAAAUGCAAGAGUGUCAAUUCUAUUGAUGAGAAUCCAUACAUACAUAGAUAUAUAAUUAUAAAUUUAAUAUGAAAAAUAGAGUCGCAUAUAAAUUAAGAAAAUAGAGUUUUUAAUAAUUAAAAAUACAAAUUUAUAACAGUACAGACAUUCGUUAAUUUCAUAACACAGCUACGAUUAAGUUAAGGUUUUUAAAUACCCAUAAAAUUCCAUACAAAUUACAGAAUGAACCAGUUGGCUGCUAGUGGAACUAUAUCUAUGCUUGGAAGAAUUAUUAAUCGUGAAUCAUGCAUUGGAUCUUGUGCCGUUCCUCGCCCAUUCAGCUGUCGCUCUGUCCUCCCUCCUCUUCGUGUAUCCCUCGAAGAACUCCUUGUUCUCUUUCUCCAACUCCUUCCAUACUGUCACACGCAAAUACCAUUAUAUGAUUAUCAUCUCUAUAUCUCAUCAUAUGAUCCUAAUAUCCCAUGCCAUCAUAAUUGAAAUCGAUUAUGUUAUUGCUUGUACAAAAUUAUUUAAGAUUUAAUUUCUGUAAAAAAAAAGUUAGAUUUUAUAUAAAAAACGAUUUUGUUGAUUAAAUAUAAAAUUGUACUAAAAUAAGUGUAUAUAUUAUUUAAUAUAUUUAUACUAAAAUAAAUAAAAAUUUAAAUUCAAUGGCUGACAAAGUAUUUUUAUUUAAGAUUUAAAUUCUAAUGAUUAGAUAUAGAAUUAAUUUUCUUUUUGAUGGAAUAGAAUUUAAAGUUAAAAAAAGAGAAUUCAUUAAAUAAAAUUUUAUUUCCGCCUUGUUAAAAUUUUGAAUUUUUUCAUGAAGAAGUCUUAAAUUUGAAUUUUAAGUGAGACAUAAAAAAAAAAAAUCAUGAUUUAGGAAAGUUUAAAUUUAAAUAUAUGUUAUGAUCAUGUUCACAUAAUUUAUUAUUUUUUUACUUGUUAGAUUAAAAAAGAGAAAAAAUAGUAAAUUUAAAAUAAAAAAAAAAUACUAACCUGUGGAAGUGAUCACAGGUUUGAUGUUGGCAUGCUUGGAAAGAGCUUCCAUGCACUCUUCUUUGCUCAUGUUAAAUAGGAUACACUCUUCUAUCAGAUGGUGGACCUGCCAACCCACCACCACCAUCAUCAUCAUCAUCAUAUCAUAUAAAUAUCAGAAUACCAGUAAAAACUAUAUAUACCGUGUGGAUAUAAGAAGCAGCUGCAGAAGAGUCGCCCAUGGCCUCGCCUCUACUUAGUGUCAUUAAGCCCUAGCUAGAGUUAAAGAUUCCAGAGGUAAAGAAUAAUCUGUAUGUAGAAUCAAAAAAUAAAUUAAAGAAAAAUAAAUAUUCAACACACAGAAGAGGAGAGCAAGAAGGCGGAGAAGAAUUAAGAAAAGCCAAAAGGGUCCGAAUUACGAAAAUCACAAAUCCUCCCUUAACAAUGUAAGACGGUACUCCAAAAUGAAAGAGACAAAAAUGACCGUAAUGACAUCGUGGUAAGUUGUGGGGCCCAAAUUCCCACGUGAGACGAGAAUUAUUAUUGGUGGAGAAAAGAUUAGGGGGGACCUUAAAAGUAGCCUUUCGGAAAUUAUUUGCUGGAUAGGUGUACGAUGAAAUCAAACCAUUGAAAUCAAAGAUUUCUUAAAUAGUAUUUUGAUUUUUUUCCUUCCAAAUGUACAGUAAAAAAUACUCUAACUUUAAUAAAAAUUAAUGUUAGAACUCACGUGAUAUAUAGAAUAAUAUUAAAUGAUGAAAUAAUAUUUUAUAAUAUCAUUCAAAAAUAGCUAAAUUAUAUAAUAAAAUAAUAAAUUGUAUCUCAUUAAGAUGUACUGAAAAAUUGUAAUGCUAAGAUAUGCCUUUUUAAGUAUCAUGAGAAACCUUUUAUAAGGUAUGCAAUAGCAAAAGCCACACAUAGUAUGACCUAUAUAAAAAAUACAUGCACACUAUUAAAGUAUUUUUCAAUAAUGAUAAAAAUUUUGAGAAUUUAAACAAUUAUAUUAAAAUAAAAAUUAAGUAUUUUUUAUUUUAUGUUUAUGAUUAUAGUAAAUAAUUGUUUAUUUAUUUGAAAUAUUAAUGUAUUGCUUAUUCAGUGUAGUGUGUCUUAAGCGUAUAAAUAUCCUACUUUUUUAAAAAUUUAUCGUGUAUUAAAUACGUUCCCAUAUCUCAUGUACCGUGUCCGUGGAAUCCAACUCUUAAUAUAUGAGACUACUUCAUACACUAAGCUAAUCGAUCAAGAUUUUUUUUUUUUAUUAUCAAUAAAAAAUGAAGUGCAUUUUUUUAAUUUGUUUUUCUGCUAUUGAAAUAGGAAAUUAAGUUUUUAUUUUAUAUUUAUAAUUUAUUAUAAAUAAUUAUUUAUUUAUUUAAAAUAUUAAUGUAUUACUUAUUCAGUGUAAUUUGUUCUAAGCGUAUGAAUGUUCUACUUUUUUAAAAAAUUAUUGUAUACCGUAUAUUUUUAUAUCUUGUGUCCUAUGUCCAUGCAACAUAACUCCUGAUAUAUGAGACUACUUCAUACAACAAGCUAAUCAACCAAUAUUUUUUCUUAUUACCAAUAAAAAAUGAAGUGUUUUUUUUUAAAUUUAUUUUCGUGUCAUUGAAAUAAGAAAUUAUGUAUUUUUUUUAUACUCAUAAUUUAUUAUAAAUGAUUGUUUAUUUAUUUGAAAUAUUAAUAUAUUACUUAUUUAGUGUUCUAUGUUCUAAGCGUGUAGAUAUCUUACAUUUUUUAAAAAUUAUAAUACCCCGUACAUUCUUGUAUCUCGUGUCCCGUCUCUCUGCAACCUAACUCCUAGUAUAUGAGAUUAUUCAAUACACCAAGCUAAUCGACCGAUGUUUUUUUAUUAUUAUUACCAAUAUAAAAUAACUGUUUUUUGUUCUAAAUUUCUUUUUGUGUCAUUGAAAUAAGAAAUUAUUAUUUUUUAUUUUAUGUUUAUAAUUUAUUAUAAACGAUUAUUUCUUUAUUUGAAAUAUUAAUGUAUUACUUAUUUAGUGUAGUAUAUUCUAAGCGUGUCAAUGUCCUACUUUUUUAAAAAUUAUCAUAUCUCAUAUUUUCCAAUUUAUAUUUUUAAAUUGUUUAUAUAUUAUUUAUUUAAUAGUAAUAUAUUGUUUAUUCACACUUUUUAAAGUAGUAUGGAUUACUUAUUAAUUGAUUUGUAAGGAGAAAUAAAUUUAUAUUAAUUUAUUAAAUGCUAGAGAUAAUCUUUUUUAUAGAUAUUAUUUUGAUAAAGAGAUCAUUUGAAAAUAUAAAACAACUGAUCUUCUUACAAUCGUUGUAAAUUGUGUGAGAAUUCUAACAUGUCAUUCUAUAAUCCAAAUUACUGUCAAGUGAUAAAUUGUGUUAGAAUUCUAAUAUCCGUCUAUACUCCAAAAUAAUACCAAGUGGCAAAUUGUGCUACUUACACAUGGCUUCCAUAUAAGGCAAACUAUCCUACUUUUUUAUACUAUAUAGAUCCUUAAUUUCAUUGCUUUAGUCCAUAAAUAGGCCAUGAAUCCAGUUUAAGUUUUUCUUGCGCGUUUAUUUAUCUUUUUAAGUGGUUUAUUUGUCUUUUUUAAGUGGUUUAUUUGUCUUUUUUUAAGUGGUUUAUUAUGCACGUUGGGAUGACAAGCCAAUAUUUUAUCUCCUCAUCUUUUCUUUUAAGUCCAUCAAACCUAAUUUUAGUUUGGAGCUAUCUCCGUUAAUAAGCACUAUCUCUCUACUUUUCAUUUUUUCUUUCGCCGCUCAUCUUUUAGUCGCUUUUAAUAAAUUUAGAUCUAUUUUUCUCUAACAUAUUUUUUUCUUUCUUUUUUUUUUUAUUAUUUUGUAUACAUAUUUGAAUUUUUUUUGCGAGUUUGAUCACUUGUUUAUGAGUUUGGUACUAAAUAAAGAUAUUAUAUUUGUUUUUAUUUUGUCAGAGAAUUUAAAUCUUAAUUUAUAGAUGUAUAUUUUCAAUCAAUAGAGUUUAGUAAUGCAGUUUGUUGCUUCAUUGAUGUUAUUAUAUAGUGGCAGAAAUUCAUCUAUGUAUGUCAUAAUAAUAAUUCUUUGGAAAAACAAUCUAAGUAUAGAAGAUUUAGAAAAAUUAUUUUAUCGUUCAAGUUAAUUAAAGAAUUAGUUACUACUAUAAAGACUUUUAUUUAUUGCCAAGGUCAUCUUUAAGUAGAACAAUCUAAUGGCUUCUUUUAAUUUUAGUUUUAAUAUUAAAAAAAAAUAGUUCUUUUGAUUUAUUAAAACAUCAUUUAACUUCUUAUUAAUUAUAAUUAUAAAUUCUAUAUUUAAUUUAGCUAAGUAUUUAUAAUAUUUAAUAUAAAAAAAAGUGGUUUAUUAUGCCACCCUCCACGUGAUAUGUGGGCGCAACACCCUCGAAAUUUUCCUCCUUUAACCAACUUCAGUAUAUAUUCUUCAAUCUAUUUGGAAAAAUUUACUAACGCACCCUUGCACAAUGGCAUAAUAAACUAGUCUGUCUUUAUUUUUUUAAAAAUACAUCAAAAUAUUCUUAUAUUUUAAUUUUAUUAUAUAUCGUAUAGUCCUUCCCUCUGAUUUUAAUCACAAAAUCCAUUGGUCAAUGCAUAGUCUUCUUAGAAGAGAGGACAAAUGUAUCUUCAUAAUGGAUAUCUAUCUUUCCACAAGAUAGGAUUAAAAGAGUACUUCAUAGUUUGAGGAGACGCCAUUAGAUUUACUCAAUCUGCUUUCUCAUAUCUUCCAAAUUCCAAAUUCACAGCUUGCAUAUAAGUUCAAAGAACUGAACUUCAAAGCAAUCAGAAUGCUUCCAUGAGAAAUGAAAACUAGCUAGUUACAUACAAUCAGUUUGGAAUAAAUGAUUUCCACAAAAUUCAUUUGAAAAUUCAAAAUUUUAUAUUUAAAAUGAAAAAAAAAACAUGGAUUUAAAUUCUAUGAAAUUGGGUAAACAUUUUUAUUGACUAGCAGCAUGCCUGUCCUAUGCACAGUAUAUAUCUUUAUCUAUAAUCUUAGAGAUAUUGUGAUAAUAUUUUAAAUUUAAUUAAAAAAAUUAUAAUUUAAAAUAUUUUUAAUUUUAUAUUUAUUAAUUUCGUUGAAAAUUAUUUAAAUUAAAGAACAUCUAUUUCAAAUUCCAAACAUUAGACUAAUUAUAUAAAAAUUAAUGUCUAUAAUAAAAUUGAAAGAAAAGGAAAUAUAUAUUAAAAAUCAUUGAUUUUAAUUUAUUUUUAAAUUAAUAAAAUUUCUUAGACGAUAAUAAAAAUAAUAAAAUAAAUAAAUUAAAAUGGACAAUAGAAAUUUAAUCAUAGAUGUAUAUAUAUUAUUUUUAAUGAUAAUUUCAUAUAAACCGUUUUCUCUUAUGAUUUAUCAAAGUUUUUCUAAUUUGAUAGAGUAAUAGAAAUUAGAAGAGAAAAAAAAAUAUAUCAAUGUCAAAAAGAAAUUGUAUAAGAAUUAUUGAAAUUAUAAAAAAAAAUUUAUUUUACCAAACCUCAAAGAGCUCUCUCUAUUUAUAGUUUAGUAAUAAGCAAUUAAUGGCAAUUCAAUAUAUUAUCAUUAAAACUAAUAAAAAAACUAUAUAUUGCAAUUUUAAGACAAAUAAAUAUUGAAACGUUUAGAUAUUCAUUAUUAUUAAAACUAUUAAUAAAUAUUUUCACCAUUAACCUCCUAUAUCAUUCCUUUAAAUAUAAAAUUUUCAUUUUCAUUUGUAAUAAUAAAUGAUAACUAUAAUUGAUUAUAAUGAUAUUCAAGGUCAAUAUUAUAAUAAUAUAAAUUUAAAAGAUAAGUUAUAAUACAUAUUAAUAUGAUAAUUGAAUGGCAAUUAAGAUCGAUAUUAUGUAAUUUUAAUUGAGAAAGAUAGGUUACAAUAUUAUAAUAAUUAUAAUUAUUUACUAAUAUGUAUUAGUUAUGAUAAUUGAAUGAUAGUUCAAUAUUUAUAUAACAAUAUAACUAAUAAUUAAAUUCUAUAUAACACUAUCAAAAUUUAAGAGUCAUACGUGGCAUUAUAAUCUCAUAUGUCAUCACCAAAAAUUUUAUGUGACAAGAGCAUUCAUUUAAGAAGUGCCACAUGUCAACUUCUUGGGAAAAAAAGAUUGCUUUAUAUAUAUAUAUUUAUAUAUAUAUAUAUAUAUAUAUAUAUAUAUAUAUAUAUAUGGCUAACGUCUCCACUCAAGUGUGCAAGGGGAGAUUUGCUGUGGUGGUGCCCACUCAAGUGGGACCCACACACAAAUGAAAAGGAAAAAACAAAAAGAAACGUGUUAUUUGAAACAGAAGAAAUGUUGGCAACCAACCAUGACUAAAUGGAAAGCCGUGUGUGACUCACACACGGCUCUCACAUCACCUCUCCUAUAAAUAGGAGAUGACUCAGCUCAUUUCAAGACACACAGAAGAAAGAAGAGAGAAAAUGUAGCGAGAGAGUUUUUUAGUUUUAGGAUGGAUUUCCUAAAACUAGGGGAGAGAAAAAUAGUGAGAAUUAUUUUGGGGUGUUUUUGGGAAACACUUUGUGUUCCACUAUUUUUGUAUUACUCUCUCUGGGUACCUACUAUUUUAAUAGUAGAAGAAUUAUUCGGAGUUUGUCCCGUAGACGUAGCCCUAAACAGUUGAGAGUGAACCACGUAAAUUUCUGUGUGUCCCAUUUUUAUUUUUCCGCUGCGUUAAUGUCAUAGCCCUACCCUUGGUAAGUAUUGUCCGCUUUGGCAUAGUCCCCGGAUGUCCCUACACCUCACGGUUUUGUCCCUUUGAGCCAGGGGUCACCCACUCUCCCAACUCAAAAGGCGCCUACCAAAGUUAGAGACUACCCCUCUUAUGUAUAGAUCGUUUACCUCGUCCGUAGCCGAUGUGGGAUUCGCCUAAGGUGAUGCCCCCUGAUGUCCAGGAUGUCACAGUUAAUCUUCUCUUAAUUGGUUGAAAGGGCCCAACAAGUGGUAUCAGAGCC
rnacentral:lncRNA from 1 species